rnacentral:lncRNA from 1 species
GGGUUUUUAAAAUGCUGGGGGUGGGAAGAAAAGCCCUUGCCUCCCCCCAGCCUUCAGAAGAGGUCCGGGGACAGACUGUCCCCGGACCUGGUCUGAAGGCGGUUUCCCUAGGAACGCAUUAAUUGAUUUUCAAUGCAUUCCUAUGGGAAACCGUGCAUCGCAAGACGAAAAACUCGCAAGACGAAGAGACUUGCGGAACGAAUUAAUUUCGUCUUGCGAGGCACCACUGUAUUUUCUGUUGUGCUGCUGUCUGCCUCAGUUAGUCAGCCUGCAACACUAUUUGUCUUAGAGACAAUCUUAUGUAAGAUGUAUCAGCAAUGUAAAUAACAUCUGUCUUGUAUAUUUAAUCUAACAAGUGCAAGUACACUGAGUAAAAGUUAUAUGUUAUUUAAACUUUAAACAGAGAAUGUCUUGCAUAGUUUUUAAAGGAGGUAAAAGGGAACUAACUAAAGGGUCAAACAACCCAAGCUCUCUUUUGCAUAACUCUGUAAAUGGGAACUAAAGUUUAAUUCCCACACAAACAACCUGGCCCCAUGCCAUUUAACUGUAAAGUGAAGCACCAAAUCUUCAUGAUUCAUCCUUCAAAAGCAUAUUAGUCCUUUGAAAACAAACUUGGAUUAGUCUAACCCAGGGUGGGGAAAAUUUAGCCCGAGGGCCAUAUUCCCUUCUGUGAAACUUUCCAGGAGGCCACAGGCCAGUGGUGGGUAGGAACAGAAUCUAAAGUAUGUGAAGAGACAGAUGUAGAUUUCACUUUUGUACAGCAGGCUGGUUUCUAGACACACUUGCUUCCUACAGCGAGGCAAGAAGCAUGAUCAGAGUUCAAGGGCACAUCCCAGCCAGGCAAAAGCACUCAAGGAGGGUAGAAGUCAGGUCUGGCAAGAGAUUUGGCCUGGGGAGAGUUCUGAGAGCCAGCUGAGAGGACUGGAUGGUCUGCAUUUGGCCCCUGGACCUGAGCUUCCCCAAUGUUUCUUCUCUUGUUUCCAGUUCUCCCUUCAGGUGGGACCAUUUCAGCAUGGGCAAAAGUUGUCCACUCCAGGUGGCUCUAAACACAUCACCAGUCUCAGAGAAUUUCCUGUUGAUUCAGAGUCCAGGAGAAGCCUUGUUUCCCCCUCACUGUGAAUUCUCUUUGUAGAUGUCAAGAACUCAGCAUUCAAUCAGGGAUGCUUGGAGUGACUGUUUCAGAGAGGCUCAGGAAUGUGCCAGCUUUGAGGGGGAAAAGGAAGGGGAGAGAGAGAGAGAGAGCAAUCAGUGCAAAAGGCUUCAAGAGGAUAUACUGGGGUUUUUUUGAGCUGGGGGUUUCUUCCUAGUGAAGAGACAGCUAAUUUUGUGUGCUGUAGUUGUCAUGGCAGCAGAACAAGAGGCUCACAAAUUGAUCUCAGGACUCCUGGAAUUGAUGGGCUGUCCUGGGGUGACAAGGAAUAGAAGAAGCACCUGCUGGAUCAAGCCAAUGGCCCACCCUGUCCAGCAUCCAGUUGCCUACAGAAAACCCAAAAGCAGGACCUCAGCGCAACAGCACUCUCCCUCCUGUGGCUUCCAGAAACUGCUAUUCAGAAGCAAACAUCCUCUAACCAUUGAGGUAGAGCAUAGCCAUCCUAGCUAGUAGCCACCAAUAACCAUAUCCUCCAUCCAUUUGUCUAAUCCUCUUUUAAAGGCACCCUAAUUGGUGGGAUGCGGGUGGCGCUGUGGGUUAAUCCACAGAGCCUAGGACUUGCCGAUCUGAAGGUCGGCGGUUCGAAUCCCCGCAACGGGGUGAGCUCCCAUUGCUCGGUCCCUGCUCCUGCCAACCUAACAGUUCGAAAGCACAUCAAAGUGCAAGUAGAUAAAUAGGUACCGCUCCGGCGGGAAGGUAAACGGCGUUUCCAUGUGCUGCUCUGGUUCGCCAGAAGUGGCUUAGUCAUGCUGGCCACAUGACCCGGAAGCUGUACGCCGCCUCCCUCGGCCAAUAAAGCGAGAUGAGAGCUGCAACCCCAGAGUCGGUCACGACUGGACCUAAUGGUCAGGGGCCCCUUUACCUUUACCUUUAGUUGGUGGACAUCACUGCCUCAUGUGGGAGCAAAUUCUAUAGUUUAACAAUGUGCUGUGUGAAUUAGCCAUUUCUUUUGCCAGUGGCAGAAACACUUGCAUUGCAUGCAAAAGGUCCCAGGUGUGAUCCCUGGCAUUUCCAGGCAGGGCUGGAAAUGUCUCCCGUCUGAAGCCCUGGAGGGCUGCUACCAGUCAGUGUAGACAGUACAGAGCUAGGUGGACCAGUGGGCUGGUGUAUAAGGCAACUUUCUAUGUUCCAAAGUUCAUGGUUUGGAAUAUACAUACAUACAUACAUACAUACAUACAUAUACAUAUGAGUGUGUGUGUGUGUGUGUGUGUGUGUGUGUGUGUGUGUUUGUUUGUGUGUGCACGCGCACGUAUACUCACACAUAAAUACAUAUAGGUAUGUGUGUUUGUUUUCAUCUUGAUAUUUUAUUGAUUUUAAGGUAGUAAUCUUAAUUAUAGUUUGCUGUUUUCUCCGAUACUGUCCGAUACUGUCUUUUUUCUUGAUUAGUGUUCAAUUCUACGUAUGUUCAAUCCAUACUAUGUAUGUUGUUAGGAGUGAUGCAAAAUUAAAGAUAUAUUUCAGUCUGGGAAGAACAGCAAAUUAAGCGAUGUGUCUGGGGUUUGUUGACUUUAAAAAUGAUCUUUAUAAAGGAAAGGAAGGAUUAAACAAUUUCUUAGGUAGUUAUAUUCAUAUAUUUAUCUAUUCACAUGAUAGUUGUUGAACUUGAUUUGGCUGUGUGUGUGUGUGUGUGUGUGUGUGUGUGUGUGUGUGUGCAUGUAUUCCUGAACUUCCAAGUACAGAGCACAGCUCACUCAUUUAAGAUAGGAGUCACCAAGCUAUGUGGGACUUCAGGUAAAUUAGGCAUGUUGAGAAAGUGCCAUGCAACUUACAUAAGUGGGCAACUUACAAAGAGUUGCUCACAGAAGUACAACAACAAUUGGAAUCGAAAAGUUCUGAAGAUAUGACAGUUAGUUACAGAUUGGUUGCAAUACCAUCAAGUAAAUGAUGUGUUUAAAAUAGACGAGAAAAAUGGAUUUAGAACAGAAAUUUCAAGGUUUGAAAAGGAAUUAUUGGAAAAUAAUGUGAAGUCACUUUCUAAAAUGUAUAAAUUGUUGCUAGAGUGGCAUACUAAGAAUGAAGAAGUUAAAUCGUUAAUGAUAAAAUGGGCACAAGAUAUUGGGCACAAUAUCCAAUUUUCAUCUUGGGGAAAAUUAUGGUGGGAAGACUUAAAAUUUACAGCGUGCUGUGCGUUGAAGGAAAACUACAUGACAAUGAUGUAUCACAGUGGUAUUGAACAGCUGUAAAAUUAGCUAAAAUGUAUAGAACUGCUUGCAAUGCUUGCUAGAAAUGUAGGGAGAAGGAAGGCACGUUCUUCAGAAUACUUAAGCAUUCUGGGAAAUGAUUUACAAUGAGUUGAAGAAAAUGUUUAAAAUAACAUUUGUGAAAAAAACCAGAGGCUUUUUUUGUUAGGCAUUUUAGGUACAGAGAUUCUGAGGGAGCAGAAAUGACUAUUCAUGUACGCGAUGACAGCAGUGAGGAUACUACUGGCCCAGAGAUGGAAAGAAGACAAAGUUCCAACCAGAGAGGAAUGGCUGAUGAAGAUGAUGGACUAUGCCGAAAUGGUGAAAUUGACUGGGAAAAUCAGAAACCAGGAAGAGAAGAAUUUUAAGAAGGAAUGGGAAAAAUUCAUAAUGUACUAAAGAGAACACUGUAAACAACUGAAAACUUUGGCAGCAUUCGAGUAAUGCUUGUAAUGUAUGAAAAACUAUGGAAAAAUGGAUUACUGUUCUUUUAACAAGUUAGAGAAAAUAAGAUAAGCAGAUGGAAAGAAAGAUUGAUAAUGGUAACCAUGGAAGGGCGGAGGGAAGGCAAGGGAUUUAAAGAAUCCUAAAUGAGGAG